rnacentral:tRNA from 1 species
AAGGCUUUAAGUUAACUAAACUAAUAUCCUUCAAAGCUAUCAAUAAAGGAUUCCCUUUAAGCCUUA